GAGCUCGGUUGGUUAGAGCAUGGUGCUGGUAACUCCAAGCUUGCAGGUUCAAUCCCCGUAAGGGACA